UGACAUAAACUUAAUAAAUGUGUGUGA
rnacentral:sRNA from 1 species